rnacentral:rRNA from 1 species
UACAGAGGGUGCGAGCGUUAAUCGGAAUUACUGGGCGUAAAGCGCACGUAGGUGGCGACGUAAGUCGGGUGUGAAAGCCCCGGGCCCAACCUGGGAAUUGCAUUCGAGACUGCAUUGCUGGAGUACGGAAGAGGAAGGCGGAAUUCCCGGUGUAGCGGUGAAAUGCGUAGAUAUCGGGAGGAACAUCAGUGGCGAAGGCGGCCUUCUGGUCCAGUACUGACACUCAAGUGCGAAAGCGUGGGGAGCAAACAGG